AACGCCGCAUUCCAGGUYGAGUUCUUCGAAGCAAUGCCUCACGCGACAGUGCUCAUCACCUGCUUCAAAACCACCAAAUUCAUCCCACUGCCAAAGAAGACAUCAGCCACCAGCCUCAAUAACGACCGUCUAAGGCCUUACACCAUAAUGAGCUGCUUUCAAAGAGUGGUGUUGCACAUCGAAGGCAUCCUGCCGGCUUCCUGGAUGUUUACCGAGUAAACUGAGUCUGUUGAAGAUGCAUCAUGUUUCAUUCAGCCGCCCUCAUCCCACCUGGAGCUCUGUAUUUGUGAACUUCAGUUCUGCCUUUAACACUAUUAUCCUUCAAAAACUGUUUAAUAAACUCACCAGCCUUGGACUGCCCAACACAC